rnacentral:rRNA from 1 species
AUACGGAGGGUGCAAGCGUUACUCGGAAUCACUGGGCGUAAGGCGCGCGCAGGCGGGCUGAUAAGUUGGAUGUGAAAGCCUACGGCUCAACCGUAGAACUGCAUCCAAAACUGUCAGUCUAGAGUCUGGGAGGGGAAGAUGGAAUUAGUUGUGUAGGGGUAAAAUCCGUUGAGAUAACUAGGAAUACCAAAAGCGAAGGCGAUCUUCUGGAACAGUACUGACGCUGAGGCGCGAAAGCGUGGGGAGCAAACAGGAUUAGAAACCCUAGUAGUCC